UAUUGAUUUCUUUCACUGAUUUAAGUUCUUUUCUUUUUUCUUUAGUAUUUCUUUCAGCAAGGCUUUAUAAGAGGCAAUUUUAUCUACAUGUGUCUGAAAGUAUCUUGCUUUCACCCUCUUCCUUGAAAAAUAAAGCAGGUGGAACACAGGAGCCUACGUGUAGCUUUUCUUCCCCAGCCCUCUGGAGGUAUCACUGCUAUCCUCUGGCAGUAUAAUGUUGCAUCUGUUUGGUCUGUUUCACACUCAGUCUCUUUCAUCAACUGGAUUUCCUCGUGAUGUUGACAACUUUGGCUUGAGAGUAUUCCAUGGCAUUCCCUCCUGCAGGUAUCUCCUCUUUCAGGUUCCUUUUUGGGCUGUUUUGUGGCUUUGAGCUGUGACAAAACAUGUUUUGCAUACUUACACCUAUGAAUGGCUAAGAUGAUUUAUUAAAGGACACUUGAGGCUGCCCCUCGGACUUUUUUUCAACCUGCCAGCAGAAGGGGAGAGUCUAUAAUUAUGUAACACUAUUGAUGAGUCCAUAAUGCUGCAGAUGAAUCACAGUAAGCGCCAAAGUCUUUAGCAUGUGUUUCUAACUCUUGAACCUUAUAAACCACUGUCUGUCAUAUAAAGGUUACUAACACGUCAAAGGCUCUGGAAACCAUGUUAGGACUGAAUUUUGUUCACUUCACAUUAUAUCUAAAGGCCCUCCACCUUCACUGCUUCUGCUUUGUACCUUUUUUUCACUUGAAAAUGUUUUUACGCUGUCAUAGUUUGCCCCAGACCAUGGAUCUGCUCAUCCAGGCUUCAGACUCAAAUCCUGACUCUGAAGAACACCAGUGUGAGUGACUCUGUUCACCUGUUAAGUCGUCUGUCUCCUCCCAAGGGUGGCUGUGAGGAUUACACAGGAGAUAGAUGACAAAUGCCUGGCAAAAAAAAAAAAGGCCCAAGCUCUGGUGAGCUGGUUCCAGGGGACUGCUUGUCAAUCGCCACGGGAUCCCAAGUGCUACAUGGCUCCACUGUUCACGGCUUCCUGCUUCUGAUUCUUUAAUCUUUCAUUUCUUCAUCUGUCUCCAUGUUCUUAGUUUCACAUAUUCCAGAAUUUUCAGCACUCCCAGUAUAUUCAUGUAUAUUCACGCUUUCCCUAUGACAUCACACAAGUGGGUUUAUGGGGCAGGCAUUCUGUCCUUCUCCACGCUGGGCACAAAACUCCUACUUCUUGCCUCCUCAUCGGGAGGGCCAGCACAAGCACACCAACGGCUCCGGCCAUCUCCCUGGCUCAAGUCCACCAGUCUUAAGUCAGAAUUGAAGGACAGAAGAGUGAAGAUAAGAGGUAGGACUGAGUGACACUUUUACCACCUGCAAGGAGCUUGCUGCUCUAACUCCUCUCAGAACUAACUGAACAGGUGAGCAAUUAAUCUCAGGCCCUGAAAUUACCUCGUAAAAGCAAACUUAAAAAAAAUCACUUUUAUUAUUUUUCUUUCCCCAAGAGGUAAAGGGACCUUAAGAAACUGUUCAAUCCUUGACACGACAGUAAAAGUUCUGCAACUCCAGACGGAAGCGGGACAGGACCAGAUGCAGGCCUUUAGGGCCUAACCUGUGGCUGUUAGCAGGACGCGUGGCUCCUGUAAUACUGGCCCUUACGUCUGUCUCAGAGAGGUGGCCUGUCUCCGGCUGGAUAGUAUUUCUACUGCGUUGCAUGCAUGCGAUGGAAACGCAGAGGAAAAGACACACAUGUGGAGGCUGGCUAAGACUGGUCUAACAUGAAUACAGUGUGUGAUAUGAAACACAAAGAAGAGACCAGCUCCUACCCUGAGCACAGAUUAUGACUCAAAGCACUCAGCCCUUGGAGAAUUUUCUAACUACUGUAGAACCGUUUCAUGUUUAAGUCCACUCUCAUUCGAAGAGCUGCCAAUUCAUGGAAGUAACAGACAGGCGUAUCUAGAUUUAUUUCCAGUCUCAAUCUUUCUGUAUCAAUUGCCCAGAUAAGUGUGUUUAAAGUCAAAUAUCUACAAGGUUCAGUACAUUUUGGCUGGGUUCUAUCUUUGACUUCUACAGAGUUCAGAGGGUUAUAGAUCUUUUCAGUUUCAUGCAGUAGAGCUAUGGGCUGCAAUGGUUUGUGAUACUGGGAUUGUAAGAAAGUAGGUGGAAUGCCUUAGAAAGCCUGGGCUCCGUUUGGAAGUUGAAGACGGGAGGGCUACAGUGAUGGGUUUGCGAUCUUGGGAGUCAUUUAACUCUUCUGGCUUCUCUUUUGCUCUCUAUGAGGAGAACUCAUGCCAACAUCACACAACGUAUCUAAAGUGCUGUGGAUGCUCCAGAGAAAGACUCUCUACACAGACCUUUUAAAGCUGCAUCUCUGCAGACACAGAGAACAGACUUGUGGACACGGGAGGAGAGGAAGAGGGUGGGAUGAAUCGAGAGAGGAGCAUGUUAACAUAGAUACUAUCAUGUAUUUAGAACUUGAAUUCCGUAUCACUUA